AAGCCAUAAUGUAACCAUGGAACACGCUGCCGUUCAAGUGAGAUUUAUAACUCAACACAAAUUUCAAAUGAUAAUCAUUCUUAGCAAAGGUUCAGACUUCCAACAAAAAACCACUAUAAUAUAGCAGCUUCAACACACCCAUGAGUUAAAAACUCAGAAUCUGGAAAGGCCAGACGACUUCACACGGUCGAAAGGCUAAACCUAUGGGCGAGCGGCAACAGGUGCUGGAGCUGGAGCAGCACCGGCAGGCAGGACCAAGACCAGGGCGGGGGCCUCAUUGUCCACCAACUGGUCUAUCCUCCUGAACA
rnacentral:lncRNA from 7 species